AUCCCCCCUCCAUUUAUAAUACUGGCACAUGUCUAUAGAAUUGUACGAAAUGAGAUAAAAAAGAAGAACAAAUGGAAAUCUACAAAUGCUGAUUUCAAGCUAAACCAUGAUCCAGGAUUGCUUAAACAAUUGAUAAAGUUAGAGAAAAAACAUGCUAAGGAUUACGUUGCACAGGCCAAAUCAUGUGCUUUCUUGAAGGCGGGUAAUGUUUUUAUCUCUAUGAGCGACGAGUUCCAGAGUGUUGGAGCGGCAGACCUGAGCGAACAGCCUCCGUACGACACAGUCCUGGUUCUCGGCACGACUAGUAGGGCAGAGUUAUUAUGAGCGGCCGCUCCGAAUUUCCAACGAAUAUUUUAUAGUGUAAUAAAAUGGAAUGCUUACAAACUUUGAACUAAAAGAAUAAUAUUAAAUUAUUUCUAUUUUUAAUAGGAAUUGGCACAUUUUGUAAAUGUCUUUUUACUUUAUGAUAUCAUGCCCACGUGUUUAUAUUACAUAAUGUAUAUACACUUUAUAUGUAAAACUAUGAAUGUCAUUAUACAUGCACCACUCUGAACGCUUACCACGCCUUUUGCAUGGUAAUAGACUAUCAUCUUUGGAUAAUACUUUUAUCUAGUAAAUUGAACACUAAUGUAUUUUUUAUCGGUAUGUUUUCACAUUUUUACAUGUUUGCUCUUCGUGUCUGUCUUAAUAUACAUAGUUGUUGUUUGGCCAUAUAUUUACUUAUUCAAUGAUGAAGAUACAUUUAUGUAGAAUCACUAGCAGCUGCAACGAAAGAAAAAUUUGUGUAUAAUAACUGAAUGGCGAACGUUCUGCAGACAAUACCUUAGAUAUUAACGAAGUGUUGUGUUGAAUAUUGGCUUAUGGAGCUGUUUAUAAUAUCUAUUAAGAUGUUAUAUGUAUAAUCAAACAUCAUACUUUGCAUAUAUCAAUGUACAGUGAAGUUGGUUAUGCUGUAUAGAUAUGAAAAAGAUCCGGUAGCUUUUAUUACCGAUUAGUGAGCAAGAAAGGUUCGUGUGUAAGUUUUAAAUAAUGCAUAACCAUUGUGAUAACAUUAACGUUUAACAAUUUAAACAUACAUGGGAGAAUUAUAAGAAAUAACAAAUAGU